CUUAAAUAAAACGUCAGGCGCGUUUGAGGAAAAUCCAAAUAUAGUUCGUGCUAUUGGGCUGACUGUGUAAAAUUUUAAGCAUUUCUCUUUCAUGAAGAAAUAUUCUGCAUGAAUGCAGUAACCGGAUUACAGCAGGGUCAAACCUUGCACAUAACUAGUAUAAACCUGUCUUUACUAUUUUUGAGUUGUUAAAUCAAGGUGAGAUCACAAAAAAAGAAAGGGUCUGUAAAGUUACCAGCUCCUUUCACAUCAUCUUUCCUCUUUCAUGGAAAACGUCACCCGCUAGUGGAGAUUAUACCAAAUCCCACAGUCAUCCAGAGUUAAAACUCCCACUGCUGUUUGUCAGGGCUUUGCAUGCAAAAAUAUUUAUAUGGCCUCUUUAAUGUAAAUAUUUUAACUAUCAUCCUGAUACUUUCUGCAUGUUGUACAUAACUAUGAUGCUUGCAGUUAGCUUUAUCGGGAAAUAGGCCAGGCGCUUAUGUUGUAUCCCUGCUUUUUUUCACUAUUAUGGUGGGCAUUGUAGACUAGAGCCUUAUGGGGCUCAGGGGACUUCGGCUCUACCGUGUCUUACGCUGCCAUGACUUUAGACACCUACGUUUUAACGCAGAGCCUCCAGCCCCUUCCCUCCCUUCUGUAAUCACAAGUUAUCCUGUCUCUGGGCACACACGAAGCAAAUAGCUGCCGUAGAGACCAGCUGCUCUUCUCGAGCUCAAGUGUCCUGAGCUCCACAAGCUGCCCCUUUCCUCGCUUGCGGUUCCUUGAGAGGCUCCAGCGAGGCCCUUCUCUCCACGUGUCUGGUUUUGGUGGCUGGCUGCUCCUUCUCUUCCCAGGUGUCCCCGGUACCAACGGGUAGGUUGGUGGGUUCCUGGGAGCUCAAUGAUGGGCUUAACUACGCGUCCAGGCUCUUUAAGGAAAAUUGCCAUAAACUCUGCAGAAUAAAAAAUGAUUUGUGGAAUGAAACUUUUAUAAAGCCCUUAAUGUUCAUUCAGUAUAACUUUGGAAUACAACAGAAAUUAGGAAUGAAUAUGCUGAAGCAUGAACCAUAUUGAGUGUUCCAGGACCAGCAUGCCUAUCUGUGAUUGCACUGAAAUUCUGCAUUUCUCAGAGAGAUUUCAGGCUGAAACCACAGCUGGGUCUGGGCAUAGCGUCCUCCGAGUCCUUUAGCACUGGCCCUUCGUGGAUAAGCAAUACAGAAAACCGGACUGAAACAACCCGAGUAGCUGUAGGAAGUAUUGGGUACGAGGCUUAACGUGAAUACAACUAAUAGAAAGAGUGUGUCAGGCUGGUUGUCUCAUAAGAAUGUGCAAUUAGUAUUGAACCUACUUCAACUUUAGCCAACAGCAAAAUGAGCUCAACCUUGGCAGAAAAAUAACAGAAAGAGAUUUUACCACAGCCCCUCUCUGUAGCGGGUGCUGGUUUACUUUAGGUAAAUAUAAUUUCCUUAAAGCAGAAAAUUGAGGGCGUGCUCAGGUCAUUUUGGAAAAGAGCAGUGAUGCAUCGGGGUGCUUCCUCCGAAGGGAAGAGGAUAAAAGAGAGGCGAAGAGGGAUGGAUAUUUACUGGUAUUAUACCAGUGCAGUUUCUGUCCGUUGAUGAAAAACCUCGAACCCCAAAAGGGAUAUCAUUAGUAUUUCUUCAGCAAGGUUCCUGAAGUGGAAAUAAUAACACUUCCUCGGUGGAAAUGAAAACACUUGAAAAAGCAUCAUCCUUGUCCCGCACAUGGAGAAGUUUUCCCAUUACUGUAAAUGUGGUUUGUUUCGGAGACAGUGUAUCGCGCUGUUAAAACGUUGAUUUGAUUUUCAGUCCUUUCUGUGUUAUAUUUGUCCUCUACGUGAAUGUGAAAAGGCUGUACGCGAAAACAUAUACUUUGCAGAUGUUACAGAAACAUAGUUCCCUAAUUAUUCAUGAUAACACACUCUCCUUGCCUCUAACCUGGUAGAAGCAAAAUAGGAUUUAUUUCAGGAUUUUAAAUAAGUGCACAACUUUUCUUCUCUUUCCUUCUCUCCCUCUCCUACAAAAUAGAAAAACUUUAAAACCUGAUGUGUUUUGCUCAGGCAGGGUUGGAAAAGAAUUUGAAUAAAAGUCUUGGAAAAGAAAUAUAAAACAGUCUGGUGGGGAAAUACUGAUGUCAUUUCCAAUGGGAUUAAUCCAUUGAUACAGUUGCUCAGGAUUUGCAGUCCUAUGAUCUAAUAUACUCAUUUGAGGCAGGGUCUUGAAAAAGUCUACGUUUUCUGAAAGCUGAAUUUCACCAGGCCUAUUCUCUAGGUCGGUUCUCCAGCAAUUUAAGCAGAUUUUACACUACAAAAAUAAAAAAUUUCCAGUUUU